UACGGGGGGGGCAAGCGUUGUUCGGAAUUACUGGGCGUAAAGGGUUCGUAGGUGGCCAACUAAGUCAGACGUGAAAUCCCUCAGCUUAACUGGGGAACUGCGUCUGAUACUGGUUGGCUUGAGUGCAGGAGAGGAAUGCGGAAUUCCAGGUGUAGCGGUGAAAUGCGUAGAUAUCUGGAGGAACACCGGUGGCGAAGGCGGCGUUCUGGACUGUAACUGACACUGAGGAACGAAAGCCAGGGGAGCAAACGGG
rnacentral:rRNA from 1 species